rnacentral:misc_RNA from 1 species
GAGAGAGAGAGAGAGAGAGACCACAAGGUUAGGAAGUAAGUAGAGAAAAUGUAACCUAUGCAUCAUUUAAGGAAAGUGUUUGUAAUAUGGUUCAACCACUGCAAAAUUUUAAGGUAGAAACUUAGCAUCAAACUAAAUUAUGUUCAUGUCACUAACUGAAAGAGGAGAAUAAUAAAUUUGGCUUGGUUGAGCUUGCAAAGUUUGUUAUAACUUUGGUAUUAAAUUUCAUUUUGAUUCUAAUCCUAGCCAACAACUAAAAUUAAAAAGACAUGCUUGCCAAAGAAUGACCAGGUCACUCCCGCCCAUCACAUAGUUAUCUAGUUGGUGCCAAAUAUGUCACAGACAAUUAAGAAGACAUCUAAGAGUCAAACUCAGUAAGAGCCAAUGCAAUACCACUCUUCCUCUAAGUUUUUAUUAGUUUAGAAGAUACUUAACAAACUUUCUGCCAACAUAAUGAAGUAGACCUACUCUAGUCAAUUGAGGAAUAAAAUCCAUCGCAAUUUGAUACAGGCACAACUUUAAAUAAGAAAAGAAUGAAUGAACUAAAUUCUCGACUCUGCAAGUUAUGUUUUUCCCACAAUUAAACAACAGACAUAAAGAUGAUAGUUAUGACACUUGAAAGAACCAAAAAUCAACGAUUAUAGUAGAUAUUGUGUGUCAAUUGA